CUUCAUCCAAUGCCUCUACCAAUACCAGAUGUUGCCUUGCCUCCCAGUGACCAUGUUCUCAACACGAGGGAGGUAGUCAGGUAGCCAGCGGCGGCGAUGGAAGCAAAGGCAAUGGAAAUAAGCAAAAGUUGUUCUGCUCAGCUCAGGUUUGGACGUAGACAUAUAACAUACAGGCAUUAUUACACCGUAGAUUCGCAGUUUGUGAUCUUUCACGAAUUGGGUCCGUUUUAUAAGUUUUAACUUAAAUUCAUUUGCUUAGAUUUUUUAUUUUAGCUAAAAUGAUAUAAAUCCUUUCCCAAAGCCUCAAUUUUGAAACUUUCGAGUAAGUCGAGGUCCAAGUUUUGUGCUUUGAAGUUAGUUCUUUACUAGCAUUGCAGCAUUGCCUUAUUUUUAUGGUGCAAGCUGCAAUUUUGAUUCUACAAAAUGCGAACAGGUGACUUUGUCUAAUUAGAAUUAGGGUUUGUUUUGCACUGUUGUUGCUGUGGAAGUUGAGAAACUCAGAAAAGCACUAUCUUGGAAUAUGAUAUAUUUGGCAUGUUUGAGAAAUAAAGCUCCGAAAGUUGUUUGCAAUAGCAUUCAUGGCAUGUUUGAAUAAUAUGGGACAGAGGAAAGGAAAUAGACAUGCAAAAUAAGGAGGGAUAAAAGUAAAUUAUUUUCCUUCCUUUUUGUUUGGAUAGGAGAGAGUGGAGGGAAAAUUAGUUUGUUUUCCUUGUUAGUUUGAUUGUCCUCAAUUUCCUUCUUAUUUUCUCAACAAAUUGGAGAGAGUAGAUAUGCAGGGAAAUUACCAGAAUAUUUUCCUCCACAAAUCCAAACAAGGGAAACAUCAGUCAAUCUUAUUUUAACUUAUCCAACAAAAGGGUUAGAGGCAUUUUGGUAGUCUGGUGGCCUUAGGUGCACAAAAUCCUGGGUAAUAAAAUGUCAGCUUAUGCAAAACCAAGCAGAAUCUCGUUAUUCUUUCCAUUUUUCAAGUGUGAAAGAGGUUUUAGAGUAAUUAUUGAUGUUCUUAUCUAAUGUAACCUAUGAAACAAAAGAAAGAAUAGUUCUCAUACUUUUCCCUUUGUCUCAAUCCAUGUGAAACCCCAUCCUUGCCAUGCAUUGCAACCAAUCUUGGAUUAUAGAAAUAUGAGAUAUGUAGCUUGGGGUACAUUAAGCCACCAUGCGAACAAAUCCAAUGACUAGGUUAUUUUAGGAAAAAAAUACAUGACCUGCAGAUCAUAUAUCUUAUGUGUAAUUAUGUGCAUGUCAAUAGGAUUUUCUGUAAUGUAGUGUCGAUAGAUAUGAUAUGUUGCCAAAUUACACAUAUGGAGAUUGGAUUUUGCCUCGUAGUUUAGUCUUAGGAUGUAUAAUUCUUUUUAUGUAGUGUUAAUUUAGCAUUUUGGCAUGCAGUGCUGCAAUUUUAUGAGAGGUAUGACUAACACAGGAGCGAUGAUAAAAUCAGAACACAACAUUUCUUGGCUCAUUUCUGCAUCAUGCUCAACUUCUCUGCAUUGGGUAUUGAAUGGAUUACUAUGAAAAGAGAUUGAACCUUACGUUUUAUAUUCUGGCUUCCCUCACCUUGACGUGCAUACAUAGUUACAUAAUACAUUCAUAUACAUAUUUGGAAGUAUAUCCAUGAUGCAAAAAUGAAAAUUAGAUAUAAGCUUGAUGCAAAUUGCGCCUGUUGUGAAUUGACACUCGAAACAACAAAUGGCGACAUCUUCACUGGUUGAUGCUGCUGUGACCAGAAUACAACCUAGUGCUGAAAUGCGUUCAAUUGGAUUCAGGCUGUUUGCUAAGCAUGUUUCCAUCUAUUCUGCUAUCCUCCUCUGAUUGCAUUGUUUUGUCUAUAUAAGCCUUUGUAUAUUGGCAGCUCUGUCGGCAUUGGAGAACCCAUUCUGUAAUUAAAGUUGAUUGCAAUUGCAGCUGUUUGAAGUUGAAUAUAUGAUUAAUUUCCCAUUCAAUUUUAUUAAACAAAAGUACCCCAAAAGUCUCAAAUUUUGUGGCAAA